CCUACGGGAGGCAGCAGUGGGGAAUAUUGGGCAAUGGGCGCAAGCCUGACCCAGCAACGCCGCGUGAAGGAAGACGGCUCUCGGGUUGUAAACUUCUUUUUAGAGGGAAGAGCAGAAGACGGUACCUCUUGAAUAAGCCACGGCUAACUAAGUGCCAGCAGCCGCGGUCAUACGGAGGUGGCAAGCGUUGUCCGGAUUUACUGGGUGUAAAGGGCGUGCAGCCGGGAAGACAAGUCAGAUGUGAAAUCCCGCGGCUCAACCGCGGAACUGCAGUUGAAACUGUUGGUCUUGAGUACCGGAGAGGUCAGCGGAAUGCGUGGUGUAGCGGUGAAAUGCGUAGAUAUAACGAAGAACACCAGUUGCGAAGGCAGAUGACUGGACUGCAACUGACGGUGAGGCGCGAAAGCGUGGGGAGCAAACAGGAUUAGAUACCCUAGUAGUC
rnacentral:rRNA from 1 species